AUGCGUUUUGGUGUGUGCAUUACCCACCAUACCCUUAGUGGGAUGAUGCUUACACUGUGAAUGUGUGGUUAUGGAGUGAUUGUUUCGACUUUACCUUUCAAAGUAGAUGUUAGCUGUGCAGUUAAGACAGAGAGGUUCUUCCAUGGAUUUGUAAUUGCUGCAAAUGGUCAGAUGAGUAAUUGAGCUUGUGCAAAGACUUCGAGGGGUUAAUUGAAUUAUUGAAGCAUGUUUACAUGCUCACAUGAAUGCAUUGAGAACAAGAUUAAUUCAAUGCUUGAUGGUGGAAAUGUAACUGCAAACCUUUUCCCUUCUAAACUUUUACAAAAUCAAUUGAGUUGCUCUAAAAAGUAGGAUGAUUAGAGUGAGCAAUUAUGGCCUCUUUGAUACAACAGCAAUGGAUGGAAGAUGAGGGACCUCUUGGAAAGCAUCUCCAAACUGAAAUGGAAAGCCUUUUGCUCUUCUGAAGCAUUUGUUGUGCAGUUUUUUAGGAAUCUACAAUAAUGGAGGUCGUAUACACAAAGUAUGGUUGGAUGAGUUUCUUAAGCUUCGUAUUACCAAGAUGGUGUCCGAAGAGAUAAGGUUUCUUGCCCUAUGUUUUUUAGUGACUCGAGUUCAAGUGGGAGGCAAGGGUUCAUCCAGCAGCAGAUUUGUCAUCAAGGUACUUUCUAAAACAAUUGUUCCAAUUAAUGCAUUAUUUUCGUGCGUUGGCUACAAUGCAAGAUGGUCUAUACCGCCUACUUACAGAAGAAGCCACCAAGUUACAAUUCCUGCGUCGAGCGCGGGUGCCACCCCUAGUGAUUAUAACAAUCCAAAUCACUCCAUAUACAAACUAAUAUGGAUGUUGGUUAUAUUUAAAGAGCCAUUCAUGUCCCUUGAAAAUGGACAUGCCCAUUCGCUAAUCCAUGGCUUUAGUGAAUAGGCACCAUAACCAACUACUAGUCAUUAUAGUUGCAACCCUUUAUUUUGAAAAUUCUCCAACAAUCACGCACUAAACACACGUAAGGGGAUUCUUAUCCUCACACUUCAAAGCAGCUUUACGAAGAACAAGUGGAUCUUCUUGAAGUAACAGAUAAAGAGUGGUAACAUCUCCUUCCAGUGCCGCAUCACAGACCCUUCUGUCCAUUUGUCACUCUACAAUUCACAGAAACAGAAAACCGCAUGUCAAGGAUGUGGGAUUGGGAUUGGGGUUGGGGUAGGUGGAGUAACUCUGCCAUUAGGCCUGGGUGCCCGCAAGCUGAGCCGAGAGAGCACCUGACUGCCAAAAUAAAAAAACAAGUAGCUUCUGCUGUCCAUCCGGCGAAUUUUCAGCCAUUUCUUGAACAGAGCGUUUAUCUCAUACAGGGUUGCGACCAUCCAACCGCUCCAGACCAUGAGUAGGAUGACUAGAAUAUCACUUGUAUUACCCAAUUGCCGCCCUCUUGCUCCUUUUGGUGCUACUGUAACAAAUGCUAUACCAUAAGUUAUGGCUAUGGUUGCAAUGGCUAGCCACAUGACGAAGGCCAACAGCGGCAUAAAGUACUUGCUGGGGAUGCUCGACCCACGAAUGAGCAAAAUAAUUGUGCUCAGAGAUGAAACAAAUGCUAUUGUGUUUGUCCGAAUCAGAAGCCAGUAAUAUUUUGGAUGCUUUUGUGCCAUAACAGCUUCUCCUAUUGUGUGUGGAUUUGGUCCUUCUAACAAGUCAUCUUGCCACAGACCUCCUGGAGGGCUUAUCCCAGCUUGAAAAGCCAUGGUUGCAAUAAGUAUGGCCACCACCAUUAGUGCUUCUCUGCUUUUGUCGAACCACUCUAGCUGCUUGAGCUUUCGGUCGUCAAUAGGGGAGCGAAUAUCCUUGGCUUUCAAGGCACCAGCCUCCUGAAGAGACCUUGAAAUUUCUGAAUUUUUGGUGAUUCCCUGCCCAAACAAAAGGUCUAACGCGGUUUUCCCGUUUGCGUUCUUGAUGUUCACCUCUACUCCAGCGUCAACUAGCAAGUAUUUGAUGGUCUGCAUUUACCAAUUUUGGAACUGAUGAAUUACAGAGAAUAGCUCACGCCUAAGCCUCAUCAAACUUAUUAGAAGCUGGAUGGAUAAAGGCUGGGAUUUUGAGGUCAAGCAUGUCUGGAGGGAAGGCAAUGCAAGUGCAGACUGUCUUGUUAAAACCAACUAUGUACAUAUGAAUCUACUAUGCAGCGGAGAUCUAAAUACACUUACCUCUAACCAUUGUUGUCAAGUACAAGUUGAUCUCUUCUUA